rnacentral:rRNA from 1 species
AACGAACGCUGGCGGCAUGCCUAACACAUGCAAGUCGAACGAGACCUUCGGGUCUUGUUGCGCACGGGUGCGUAACGCGUGGGAACCUGCCCUUAGGUUCGCAAUAACUCCCCGAAAGGGGUGCUAAUACCGGAUAAUGUCUUCGGACCAAAGAUUUAUCGCCUUUGGAUGGGCCCGCGUUGGAUUAGCUUGUUGGUAGGGUAAAAGCCUACCAAGGCGACGAGCCAUAGCUGGUCUGAGAGGAUGAUCAGCCACACUGGGACUGAGACACGGGCCAGACUCCGGCGGGAGGCAGCAGUGGGGAAUACUGGACAAGGGGCGAAAGCGUAAUCCAGCAGUGCCGAGUGAGUGAUGAAGGCCGUAGGGUUGUAAAGCUCUUUUACCCGGGAUGAUAAGGAGGGAACCGGAGAAUAAGCGCCGGCUAACUCCGUG